rnacentral:ncRNA from 1 species
UUAUUACUUAAUAUACACAUGCAAGCAUCCACCCACCGGUGAAAACGCCCUUUACCCCCUCUUAGGGGCCAGGAGCCGGUAUCAGGCACAACAAUCUGCCCAAAACACCUAGCUUUGCCACACCCACAAGGGAAUUCAGCAGUGAUUAACAUUGAGCAUAAGCGCAAGCUUGACUCAGUUAAAGUAAAAUAGAGCCGGCCAAUCUGGUGCCAGCCGCCGCGGUUACACCACGUGACUCAAAUUGACCCAUUCCGGCGUAAAGCGUGAUUAAAGUUUUUUUCAACUAGAGCUAAACCUUGACUGAGCUGUGACACGCCUGUCUAUUAAGAAUCUCAAAAACGAAAGUUACUCUAAUAUAACCAACUUGAACUCACGACAGCUGGGGAACAAACUGGGAUUAGAUACCCCACUAUGCCCAGCCAUAAACCUUUAAUUACACCCGUAUCGCCAGGGAACUACGAGCCAAGCUUAAAACCCAAAGGACUUGACGGUACCCCAUAUCCCCCUAGAGGAGCCUGUCCUAUAACCGAUAAUCCACGUUAAACCUCACCAUUUUCUAGUUAUCAGCCUGUAUACCUCCGUCGUCAGCUUACCACGUGAGCGCUAACUAGUGAGCCUAAUGCUUCUUCACCAACACGUCAGGUCAAGGUGCAGCAAAUGAAAUGGAAAGAGAUGGGCUACACUUUCUAUGUUAGAAAAAACGAAAAACUACUUAUGAAACCUAGUUAGAAGGCGGAUUUAGCAGUAAAAAGGAAUCAGAAUGUCCAUUUUAACCCGGCACUGGGGUGUGUACACACCGCCCGUCACCCUCUUCAAAGUUACAACAAAGUUUUUAACAACCCUUGACACAGCAGAAGAGGCAAGUCGUAACAUGGUAAGUAUACCGGAAGGUGUGCUUGGAAA